rnacentral:rRNA from 1 species
CCUACGGGUGGCUGCAGUAAGGAAUCUUCCACAAUGGACGAAAGUCUGAUGGAGCAACACCGCGUGCAGGAUGACGGUCUUCGGAUUGUAAACUGCUUUUAUAUGGGAAGCGGUACCAUAUGAAUAAGGACCGGCUAACUACGUGCCAGCAGCCGCGGUAAUACGUAGGGUCCAAGCGUUAUCCGGAAUCACUGGGCGUAAAGCGUCCGCAGCCGGGAGUUUAAGUGAGAUGUUAAAUCGUGGGGCUCAACCCCGUCGAUGUAUCUCAUACUGGACACCUAGAGGAAAUCAGAGGCAAGUGGAAUUGGUAGUGUAGCAGUGAAAUGCGUAGAUAUUACCAGGAACACCAAUGGCGAAGGCAGCUUGCUGGAUUUUCUGACGGUCAGGGACGAAAGCGUGGGGAGCGAACAGGAUUAGAUACCCUUGUAGUC